rnacentral:pre_miRNA from 1 species
GCUUUAGGGCCUGGUCCAAAGCUCAUUAAAGUCAUUGGGAGUCUUUCCACUGACUUCAUUGGGUUUUGGAUUAGUUCUUUCACGU